AACGAACGCUGGCGGCGUGGAUUAGGCAUGCAAGUCGAACGAGAAAAGUUUCUUCGGAAGCUUAGUAAAGUGGCAAACGGGUGAGUAACGCGUGGGAAACUUACCUUUUAGUUGGGGAUAACACUUCUAACGAAGUGCUAAUACCGAAUAAGAUCUUUCCAUCGCAUGAUGGAUUGAUGAAAGAUGGCCUCUGUUUCAAGCUAUCGCUGAAAGAUGGUCCCGCGUCCCAUUAGCUUGUUGGUGAGGUAACGGCUCACCAAGGCUUCGAUGGGUAGCCGGCCUUAGCGGGUGACCGGCCACACUGGGACUGAGAUACGGCCCAGACUCCUACGGGAGGCAGCAGUCGAGAGGCAUCCACAAUGGGGGAAACCCUGAUGGUGCGACGCCGCGUGGGUGAUGAAGGUUUUCGGAUCGUAAAGCCCUUUCAGCAAGGACGAACGUGCCGGGUGUUAAUACCAUCCG
rnacentral:rRNA from 1 species